rnacentral:rRNA from 1 species
CCUACGGUAGGCAGCAGUGGGGAAUAUUGCACAAUGGGGGAAACCCUGAUGCAGCGACGCCGCGUGAGUGCAUAUUCGUUUCGGCGCGUAAAGCUCUGUCAGCGGGGAAUAACCACGGUUCGCGCGAGCCGCUGACGGUACCCGACCAAGAAACCCCGGCUAACUACGUUCCAGCAGCCGCGGUAAUACGUAGGUUGCAAGCGUUAUCCGGAUGCACUGGGUGUAAAGGGAGCGUAGACGGCGAGACAUGUCUGGAGUGAAAGGCAGGGGCCCAACCCCGGGACUGCUGUGGAAACUGCCUGGCUGGAGUACAGGAGAGGUAAGUGGAAUGUGUAGUGUAGCGGUGAAAUGCGUAGAUAUCAGGAGGAACACCAGUGGCGAAGGCGGCUGACUGGACGGUAACUGACGUUGAGGCUCGAAAGCGUGGGGAUCAAACAGGAUUAGAUACCCGAGUAGUC